rnacentral:lncRNA from 1 species
GCGCCACCGGAAAAAGAAAUUCCCGGGCCCUGGCUUCUUGGCCUGAUGGUGAGGCACCAGAGGCACUGCUAGCCUUGAAGCCUCCAGCCUGCUGGAUGCCUCCAUCCCCGGCUAUGCUGUGGCUCUCCUCAUUCUAGGCCUCCUGCUCGUCACAUUCACCCUUGUCCUGGUGCUAAAGUGGAGGGCCUCCCAUGGGGUGUUCAGCCUGGGUGUGUAGAAGCACACAGUGUGGUACAGAGGACCCUCUCCAGACAGGUGACCCCUCAUGCUGCUGCUCCCUCUGCUGAAACCCAAACUGCAAACCUCUCCUCUCCCUGCCUUCACCUUGCCCCACGGCUUCCACAGACAGUGCCUCAACCCCGAGGAAUGAAUCCGAAGUUCCAACACCACUGACUUUCCCAGGAACUCAGAGCCAGAGAGGGCCAAGGACCAGCUCGAGGACACACAGCCAGGGCUUCUUCCCUCCGAAACCCCCAAGGACUGGACUUGCAGGGCUGGGACAGAGGUGGGGUGGGGGAAAGCAAUGCCUUGUCAACCCACGUGGGGAGCCCCACUCCCAUCCCCAAGGUGCAUAAAGUUGAGGAACACCCCUGC